AGUGAACGCUGGCGGUAGGCCUAACACAUGCAGGUCGAACGGCAGCACAGUAAGAGCUUGCUCUUACGGGUGGCGAGUGGCGGACGGGUGAGGAAUACAUCGGAAUCUACUUUUUCGUGGGGGAUAACGUAGGGAAACUUACGCUAAUACCGCAUACGACCUACGGGUGAAAGCAGGGGAUCUUCGGACCUUGCGCGAUUGAAUGAGCCGAUGUCGGAUUAGCUAGUUGGCGGGGUAAAGGCCCACCAAGGCGACGAUCCGUAGCUGGUCUGAGAGGAUGAUCAGCCACACUGGAACUGAGACACGGUCCAGACUCCUACGGGAGGCAGCAGUGGGGAAUAUUGGACAAUGGGCGCAAGCCUGAUCCAGCCAUACCGCGUGGGUGAAGAAGGCCUUCGGGUUGUAAAGCCCUUUUGUUGGGAAAGAAAAGCAGCAGGUUAAUACCCCGCUGUUCUGACGGUACCCAAAGAAUAAGCACCGGCUACUUCGUG
rnacentral:rRNA from 1 species